AAAAAUAAAAAGCUUUUAAAAAAAUCAAAUCCCUUCCUAUCUUCUCUUGGGGAAAGUGGGGAAUGGGAACUGACUAUUUUCCUUUCACUCAUUUCAGAGUCUCUGUUGGUAUUCUUUGCUGCCUAACAACAUGUCCAAUUCCUCCCCUCCAACCUGAUCCAGCUUUCCUUCUUAACCUCUUAUUCUAUACCAUCCUUUCCUUAUAUUCCAAACUUCUGGAAAGAGUCUUCUCUCCUUGCCUCCAUUUUCUCACCACCCACUCACACUUCAGCCCAUUGCAUUCUGGCUUCCAAUUCCUCCAUUCUAUUGAAACUGUUGUCUCCAAGGUUACCAAUGAUUUCUUAACUGCACAAAAUUGAAAGAAUGGAAGCUUCUCAAGGACUGGGACUAUUUUUGGAUCCCUAAGACCUUAACUUGGUUUCUGGUACAUAAUAUAGCCGCUCUGCCUAUAUUGAAUCUCCCUGUCUUUCCAGUCUCAGGUCAAUGACCUUUGGACUACAAGGGAUAGAAUAAAAAUGGCUAAUUGGGAGUUGACACCUGAGAUGAAAUUCUAACUCCUUGAGGCUGGGACCACAAAGACCAGCGGACAAAGUGCUCACUAAAUUCCCCUAGAACCGACAAAGUAUUCCUGCAGAAAACAUGGAAAGCCCUGGGUCUGACAGUCCUACAAUGAGAUAUACUUGGAAAUGAUCAAUGAUGAGAUCCAAGAUUAUUAAUGAUUCAACAUGAUCUUGGAAGGAGAUCUUCAGUUGAAUGAAUCCAGGCAUAUACAUGCAGCCAUGUACAGUUUGAUAUUUUUAUCCAGUGGCUUGGAUAAAGGCAUAGAUUGCAGAUGGGAGGGAUGGUUAGCACUCUGAAAAAGAAUCAGAAUCAAAAAGAUCUUGACAGGCUAAAAUCUUGAACUGAAUUUAAAUAUAUGGAAUUUCCUAGGGGAAAAAAAUAAAGAUUUACUCCAAAACUGAUGGAAGAGUGACUAGAUAGUAGUUUCUCUAAAAAUUAUAUAUAGAAAUCUAA